CCCCCCACUUCAUCUUCUUCCUUUAGAACCAAAACUAGCGCUAUCCCCACCCCACCCCAUUCAUCUUCUUUCUUCUGCCCUUCUUCUGCGUCUCCUUCCCCUUUUCCCUGAUCCACUCUCCAUCCAACUAAUUAAACACAUAUCUUUCUGUUAGACCCCUUCCCCUUUCCACCUUCUUCUCCAACAUGCCCUAUACUCAAAAUUUAUCCAUCCAUACUUGAUGACACAAAGUUAGAAAGAUGCCCGGCGCCAAAGAUCUCCACUUGCAAAGGGUUGAAAAGAAUUACAAUUACUUAUUCGUUGGCAAUGUUAUUUUAAUUUAAAAAUUUUGUCUGCAUUUAUCAAGUUUACAGAUGUAGCCAAGCAAAUCAUAAAUCCGAUUGAGACGUUCCAAGUAGAGAAUCUUGAUCUUGUUAGAGAUCAACAAAAAAGAAUCAUGAUCCACUGGGAUUUUGGGUCUUCUUUCUCCGUCAUUUUCUUGGUCACAAAUUUGGACUUAUUUUACUUUUAUUUUUCUAAUUUAUUAUUUUUGGUGUAAAAUUUUCCAUCGAUUUAAAUAAUUGGUUGUUGUUUGUGUGUUUUUGUUGGAAUGAAGGUAUGUUAUAUGAAAGAGGGUGUUUAUCUAGUGGAGAUUUGGUGGUUUUUUGCAGCUAUUAUUGCUGCAAUUUUGCUGCUUUUUUCGGCUAUCUCGGGAUUAGUUUUGGCUCAACAGAUAUAGGCGAAGCUCUAGAGGUUAUGGGCAGUAAGUUUUGAUGAAAGGCGAUAUUUUUCAGUGAUUUAAGGUGGCUUAGUUGGAGCUUUAGUGAGUGAUUUUCAUGGAGGCUAUGGUGGUUUCAUGGUGGGUUGCAGUUGAAAGAAGAAGAGAGGCUAAGAUGCGGAAAUGGGCGAGAGGAGCUGGAACUGCAGAUGCAGAUGUUUGAGCGCACCUGCGAUAAUGCAGGUGCGGGAUUUUGAUUGCAGGUGCGGUCCUUGGGUGGUUAAGUGAAUUCCGCAGAUGCGCACCUGGGAUCGCAGGUGCAAGAUUUCGAUCGCAGAAGCAGUUUAGCUGGGGCAGAGCAUAUAAAUUUAGCCCUUCGCAAUUUUUGAGUGGUUUUUCACUGUUUUCAUGCGGGUUUGAGCUUGGGAGAGCAAUUUGAAGAAAGAAUUCAAGGGGGUUUCGUGGAGAUUCGACGCGAGUUGAGGCCGAGUUGAGAGGCAAGGGCGUCACAGAGUAGUAUUUCAUCCGGUUCGAG